GGCAUCGGAGUUUGUUGAUGCGGAAUAUUGCUGGUAGAAGUGGUAGCAAAAGGUGUUUCAUUUGAAUAAAGGUUAGUAGGGGUCGGUUUAGUGGUCGAAUUAUUUGUUGACGGAGUACUGGAAUUAUUUGAAUUGUUGUUGAUGACGGCAACCCUGAAUAAUCGAUAUCGAUCACUCUUUGUUCUGUGUUUUUUGUUAUCCCUAACUCAUGUAUUAGUUAUUAUUAGUUUUUCUGUUCCGUAUUUCUUGCCGGCUAUUAACAGUAAAUUCUAUCUACGAAAUUGAAUAUAAAUUGCCUCUUCCGUUUGUCAGAAGUUAAUAUUGUUCUGUCCGCGGCAUAGAAGAAAGCCGAAAGCGAAGAAUAAACCAUGCCACGUCUUCUAUUGUGAA
rnacentral:lncRNA from 1 species